GUCGCUUCUCGGCCUUUUCGCUAAUAUCAAGUGUAGUAUGUGUUAUCAGUUUAAUAUCUGAUACGCCCCCUGUCUGGAGGCCACAUAUUAAAUGGAUUUUUAGAGCUGGAAGAUGGAAGAAGAGAGUGCUCUGUCCACUCUAGGGCUGAAACAACUAAUCGAUUAUUAAAAUCGUUGUCAACUAUUUCCA
rnacentral:snRNA from 1 species